rnacentral:rRNA from 1 species
CGAACGGGUGAGUAAUAUAUCGGAACGUGCCCUAUCGUGGGGGAUAACGUAGCGAAAAUUACGCUAAUACCGCAUACGAUCUAAGGAUGAAAGCGGGGGAUCGCAAGACCUCGCGCUAUUGGAGCGGCCGAUAUCUGAUUAGGUAGUUGGUGAGGUAAAGGCUCACCAAGGCAACGAUCUGUAGCUGGUUUGAGAGAACGACCAGCCACACUGGAACUGAGACACGGCCCAGACUCCUACGGGAGGCAGCAGUGGGGAAUUUUGGACAAUGGAGGCAACCCUGAUCCAGCCAUGCCGCGUGCGUGAAGAAGGCCUUCGGGUUGUAAACUGCUUUUGUACGGAAAGAAACGGUUGCUAUUAAUAUCCAUGGCUCAUGACGGUACCUGAAGAAUAAGCACCGGCUAACUACGUGCCAGCAGCCGCGGUAAUACGUAGGGUGCAAGCGUUAAUCGGAAUUACUGGGCGUAAAGCGUGCGCAGGCGGUUAUGUAAGACAGAUGUGAAAUCCCCGGGCUCAACCUGGGAACUGCAUUUGAGACUGCAUGGCUAGAGUGCGUCAGAGGGGGAUGGAAUUCCACGUGUAGCAGUGAAAUGCGUAGAUAUGCGGAGGAACACCGAUGGCGAAGGCAAUCCCCUGGGACUGCACUGACGCUCAUGCACGAAAGCGUGGGGAGCAAACAGGAUUAGAUACCCUGGUAGUCCACGCCCUAAACGAUGUCUACUGGUUGUCGGGACUUCACUGACUCGGUAACGAAGCUAACGCGUGAAGUAGACCGCCUGGGGAGUACGGUCGCAAGGUUAAAACUCAAAGGAAUUGACGGGGACCCGCACAAGCGGUGGAUGAUGUGGAUUAAUUCGAUG